GUGGGGAAUAUUGGACAAUGGGCGAAAGCCUGAUCCAGCCAUGCCGCGUGAGUGAUGAAGGCCUUAGGGUUGUAAAGCUCUUUCAGUAGGGAAGAUAAUGACGGUACCUACAGAAGAAGCCCCGGCUAACUUCGUGCCAGUAGCCGCGGUAAUACGAAGGGGGCUAGCGUUGUUCGGAUUUACUGGGCGUAAAGCGCACGUAGGCGGAUUGGUCAGUUAGAGGUGAAAUCCUGGAGCUCAACUCCAGAACUGCCUUUAAUACUGGCAGGCUAGAGUCCAGAAGAGGUGAGUGGAACUCCUAGUGUAGAGGUGGAAUUCGUAGAUAUUAGGAAGAACACCAGUGGCGAGGGCGGCUCACUGGUCUGGUACUGACGCUGAGGUGCGAAAGCGUGGGGAGCAAACAGGAUUAGAAACCCUGGUAGUCC
rnacentral:rRNA from 1 species